rnacentral:rRNA from 1 species
GGGAGGCAGCAGUGGGGAAUCUUAGACAAUGGGCGCAAGCCUGAUCUAGCCAUGCCGCGUGAGUGAUGAAGGCCCUAGGGUCGUAAAGCUCUUUCGCCUGUGAAGAUAAUGACGGUAGCAGGUAAAGAAACCCCGGCUAACUCCGUGCCAGCAGCCGCGGUAAUACGGAGGGGGUUAGCGUUGUUCGGAAUUACUGGGCGUAAAGCGCACGUAGGCGGACUAAUAAGUCGAGGGUGAAAUCCCAGGGCUCAACCCUGGAACUGCCUUCGAUACUGUUAGUCUUGAGUUCGAGAGAGGUGAGUGGAAUUCCGAGUGUAGAGGUGAAAUUCGUAGAUAUUCGGAGGAACACCAGUGGCGAAGGCGGCUCACUGGCUCGAUACUGACGCUGAGGUGCGAAAGUGUGGGGAGCAAACAGGAUUAGAUACCCUGGUAGUCCACACCGUAAACGAUGAAUGCCAGUCGUCGGGUAGCAUGCUAUUCGGUGACACACCUAACGGAUUAAGCAUUCCGCCUGGGGAGUACGGUCGCAAGAUUAAAACUCAAAGGAAUUGACGG